AAUUUAGACCCGUGCAACAACUUAUGAUGACGCAAUUCGCAACCUUCUACGCUACAUACUUUUUUCAUACAUGAAGUUUUGUUUUUAUGGAAACCUUUUUUUAAACACCUAUGACAUAUUUUAUUCUUUUUGAUAAAUUGCCACCUAUCAUUAAUUGACAGUUUGACGAACUUGUCACAAUCAAAUAAGUCAUGGUUUUGUUUACAUAAUGAACAAUUAUUGCUAGAAUCAUUACUAUUUAAUGAUGUUGGAAGGCUAUCAGACGAAUGAUUAUUUUCAGCGAUAAUGUUUACUCUGUCCCUACCACCAUUUGGCCGGGAAAUUUGAGCUGGCGCGUAGUCAACCGCGCCUCCAAAUCGGCAUUGCAGGUCGACUUCGCGCGAGAGGAAAUCGGCAAACAUUUCAAUUUUUGAAGCGCUACCAUUGCGCGAAUGAGCAUAAUCCAACCACCGUGGACGCAGCAGCGCAGGCAGCUUGCUCCACAGUGCCUGGAACAGCUCAGGGGAGCGUAAAUGGUCGGGCUUAUUUAACAUGCGGAUUACCUCUACGCAGUUACGAAUACGACUUGCGAAAAUCACUAGGUCCUUACCGUCGUAGCUUACCUUAGGUAGGGCACGCACCGCCGUCACUUCAUGCAUGACGACAAGCUCGGGACGGCCGAAGCGCGAGUCGAGCGCGGCCACCACCGCGGCGGGGUCGCGGGCUGCUGCCAGCAGGCCCGCUACGGCCUCGCGCGCCGUCCCACGUAGGGCGCGUGAUAACCUAGCUAGAUUUUCAGUAGGCGAGAAACUAUUUGCUUUAUUUUCGUAAACUCUUUUUAAAGCUAACCAAUCCAAAUAUGACU